rnacentral:lncRNA from 1 species
GCCAGAUAAGUGAUGAUCAGUGGGAGGCUCCCUGCUGCUGAUGCAACAAUCCUAAUUAAGUAACCACCUUUCAACGUACUUGUCUUAGACACUAAUAGGUCAACCUAUUCUAAAUUGGGUUUGACUUUUGAUUCCUCACCAUAAAUUGAAAUUGCAUCUAUCUAAAGUGUAUUCAUGAUACAAACCUACUCCUAGGAUUUGUAGUAAUUCAUGG